rnacentral:misc_RNA from 1 species
UUUCCGUAGGUGAACCUGCGGAAGGAUCAUUCAUAAUCAGUGUUUUAUGGCACUUUUUUAAAUCCAUAUUCACCUUGUGUGCAAUGUCAGGGUUGAUUUUUCUCUCGAGAGUGUCAGCCCCAAACAUCAACUAUAUCUCAACUCUUUGUCUGAAAAAUAUUAUGAAUAAAACAAUUCAAAAUACAACUUUCAACAACGGAUCUCUUGGCUCUC